GCUAGUAAUCCACAGUGCUUCAAUGGUCAACUGGAAACUGUUGUAAGAUGCUCUAAUAGAAAGUCUUCUAUUAGUUCUGCAGUUGUCGUUGGAGUCAUUGUUGGUGUAUUGGUUGCAUUCGUAGCGACAGUAUUUUUUGUUGUCAUCAUAUAGUAGCCAUUUUUAUAGUCAUCCAUUAUAAAAGGAUGCAUAGACAUGAUGGUUCAUUAAGAGUUAAUGAUGAAGAUAUUUAUAUAGACUGAUAUUGUUUGUUUUUGAAAGUAUUUUGAAUAGUUUUUAUGUA